GUGGGCAAAGGACGUUAUGUAAUUUUUUAGUGGUUGCUUUAUGUAUUAUGUUACCUAUACAUAACUUAUCACAGUCUACUGGUAUCCUCAUUUUACCAUUCGAAGCAGUUAAAAAAUCUUACCUACUUUUGUACCUUCACUCUUAUAAUAAAUUGUCUUAGAUAUUUCCUCCACAUGCAUUUAGAAAUAUAACAGUGUUCUAUUUCUGUUUCCACAAUCAAAUAUAAUUUGGAAAACUCCAGAAAAGGAAAGUCUAUUCUAUUUAUCCAUAUUUGUAUGUACUAAAUUCUUUCUUUCUUUCUAAACUUCCAAGAUUCCCUCUUCUGUCUUUUCCAUUCUGUUUAGACAACUUCCUUAACCGUUCUGUCAUGUUAGGCCUGCUAGUUGAAAAUUAUUCUAGUUUUCUUUAUCUAACAGUGUUUUCCUUUCCCCUUCAUUUCUAAAGGAUAUUUUCUAUGGAUAUCAAACUCUAGGUUGAUAGUUCUUUUCUUUCAGCUAGUGAAACGGUCAUGUCCUUUCCUUUUGGUCUUUAUGGUUUCUGAUGGGAAACACACUCUCUGAAUCAUUUUUCCUCUAUAGAUUAGACUGUGAUUUUUUUCCUGCUCUUUUCAAGAUUUUUUUCUUUAAGUGUUUGUAAGUUUGACCAUGAUAUGCUUUGGUAUAAAUUUCUUUGUUUUUUUUUCUGUUUGUGGUUUGUUCAGCUUCUUGAAUCUGUGUCCUUUUUGCUAUAUUUUGGAAGUUUCCAGCCACUACAGCCACUAUUUCUUUGAGGAUAUUUUAAGCAUUGCCCUUUAUCUCCUCUCUUUCUGGGAUUCUAGUGACACAGAUACAAAUGUUUUAUUUUUUGUUAUAGUUUCACAGUUGCCUAAGUCUCUGUUUUUAAAUAUAGUUUAUUUCUGUUGUUCAGAUUAAGUUAUUUCUAUUAUUCUUCCUUCCAGUUCACUGAUUCUUUCUUCUGCCUUCUCCACUCUGCUGUCAAGUACAUCCUUUUAGUUUUUGAUAAUUUCAGUUGUUUUAUUUUUCAGUUCUAAAAUUUUUAUCUGAUUAUUCUUUGUAUCUUCUGUUUCUUUGUCAAAACUCUUACCUUUUGUAUUUGUUUCAACCAUGUUUAUAAUUGCCCCUUGGAGCAUUUUCAUGACAGCUGCUUUAAAAUCUUUGUCAGAUAAUUCUAACAUCUCUGUCAUCUCAAUAUUCACGUGUAUGAAUAGCCUUGUAAAAAUUCAGUUUGAGAUCUUCUUUUUGCUUUGUGUGACAAAUGAUUUUCAGUUGAAACCUGGACAUCUUAGGUAUUAUGUAUGAGGCUCUAGUUCUUAUUUAAACCUUGUGUUUUAUCUGGCUUCUUCUUACACCACUCCAGCCGGGAAAAGGGGGUGUGCUGCCUUGUUACUGCCAGAUAUGGAUAGAAGUAGCUCCUGCUCUUCAGUGAACCUCCAUUGGUUUCUGCUACCAAACUGACCUCCACUGAUAGCUUCCUGGCUAGGAAAAAUGGAAAAAUGGAGCGGUUUAUUGCUGCUCUUAUUGUGGUCUUCACCAGUGCUUUAGAAGUUGAGGGAUAGCAGGGUAGCCUUGUUACAGCUGGACAGUUUUGAAUGUUCUCAAUCUCCACCAAACCUUCUCUCAUACAACCUCAGUGGAGAGGGAGAUGGAUACCUCAUUAUUGCUGGGUUUGGGGUGGAAGUCCAGACUGUCCAUUUAGUCAACAUAGACACUGCAUGUAGGGUAAGAGAGGAAUCUUGCUAACCCCCGACAGGGAUGAAACUUUUAGAUUCUUGCUCAGACUUGUUUUACACUGCUCUGGGGGCUGGAAGGAGAGGGUGUUGGAAUAUCCUGGCAAGGAUCAGCGUCUGGGCUUGCCACUUUGCCUUUGCGGGUGUCCAUGGGGAUGGGACCAUAAUUAUUUUUGUGGUAUUCAACUAGAGCAAAAUGGUAUUGCUUUCUGUCUUUCUAGGCUGCCCCUUUCUUGUUCCUUUGACUAGAGAGAACAGCCUUUUGUUGGAACUUUGUUUUUUUGUCUGAACCAGUUGGCAUUUCUGGGUUGCAGGCUUCUUCAGUUCCAAAGUUUUGAUGUAUAAGGUAAAAAUUAAAAAUCCAUGUCAUUCCUUGAGUCCUUCAGUCUCUAGCUAGUUUUUCAUCUUCUCUCAGCUUUUCAGAGUCUCCUUCAAUUUGUUUGAUAUGUAAUGAGGAAGGAUUUUAAUUGUACCUAGCAGGGGGGUUAGAAAAAACUAUGUCUACUCCAUCUUUCUAGAAGUGAAAGUCUCCCAUUACUUUGUUUCUUUUUAAAAAUUGUUUUUAACUGGGAAGGCAGCAUACAAUUUUCACAUCAGAUUCUUUCAGAAAGUUCAGCAGAAUUAUACAAAACUAAUCACGAAUUUAGUGUUAAAAAGGAAACCUUCAGACAGAGAAAAUAUCUCUAUCUGUAAUUUAUUUUUUAAUAUCCAUUUUACUUCCACUUUCCAAUUUCCAUCGGUUUGUUUCUUGACAAGUUUGUCUCCUUUAGGACCUGCAACAUCUCUGUUUAGUAGUGAGCUUUUCUCACUUAAAAGUACUUACCGAAUGACUACCACCUGGGAACAUGUCAAUUUCCUUCACUGAUCCUCCCCUAUGCCUGUCAGAAGGCCUGGCACAUACUAGGACUUAAUAAAUAAUCUGCUGAAUAAGUGAAUGAGAACUGGAAAUUUAAAUUUUUAUGUAAAUGAGUGCAUCAUCUACUUUCUUGUUUUGCUGAAGCAUGGGACUUAAGUUCCAACUAAGCACUCUUUAAACAUGUGCCUAGGACACUAGCAGAUUUCUCCAGAAUUUUGCAAUCUAGAAAAAAGGCAAUUUUAAUUUCAGGCCCAUGUGUAAAUUUUUAGUUUAUGGUUUAGAAUUGCAUUAUUUUGAAUUACAAAUAGGAAGAACAACAUGAUGGUUCUCACAUGUGUGUACGGGUACGUGCACAUUCACUCCUAUCGUUACUAAAGUAAGUCACCUGAACGACAUGGCGCAAAAACAGCCACAAACCAUUUUUAGUUAUGUUUCCUAGAUGCCUGAAUCCUUUUUCAGAUUCUUUUCUAUUAGACAAGUCACAGUUUGAUUAUCUUUGAAAGUCAUUGUUAUGUAUUGUGUGGCGUAUGUGUUUAUACAUGGAAAAGGGGCAACAUUAAUCCAUCAUUUUGGGAAGGCACUGAAUAUAAUGUUAAAUUUUUUGCAAACAUAAUCAUACUUUAGAUAUUCUCCAACUAUUGCAACGUUUUUAAAAAACAAGGUUAAAGGACAUGGUUCUUUUUAGUGCCACUCAGUAUGCUGUUUCAGUACUAAUAAUGCUUGCUUUCCUGCUUGGCUUUAAAUUCUGCUUAAGGAAAUUGUGAAAAAUUGAAUUCACUCUACUUUAGUUAGAAAGUGUAGAAAUGUUCGUACAUGGGAACUUUCACUGCCUGCUAGAAUGGAAAUUCAUUGGGGAGGGGGUACCAUGUCGUUUUACUACCUAAGAGCUGUUGACACAGUCCCUGCAUCUUUCAAAGGCAUCUUUCAUGCCACACGGGCAAACUGUAGCCAGCGAAGAAACAGAAAGAGCCCUUCUCACAUAUGUCAAUCUCAAAAAACUUGCACAGCAGCUGUGCUAGGUACUGAUGAGGAUUACUACAGACCCAGUUGCAGGGUUUUAUGUGGCUAAAGAGACAACUGGCUUUCUCAGGGGAACACUUUGUUGAAGAUUGCAGCUUAGUGCAUCCCCACUGUUGCUGGAAGACGUUGUGACCAUGUAGUACAAAAUCACUGCCAGAUAAAAUCAGAAAGUAGCAAAAAGCAAGAAGAAAAACUCAGAGUUUUUUUAAAUCUUAAAGUGAGAGACGAAAACAAAUGUUCUGGGCUUGUUUCAUUCACUUGUAAGGAAAAGGAGACAGAUGAAGGGAUGCCUUUAACUCAGAAAACUUGAAGGGCUUUCAGUCUUUUCAUUUGAGAACCAUUUGGGUGUGUUGAGAAAAAAAGUUGCAGAGUAGGCAUGUUCAGACCUUUAUUUGCUACAUUUGGUAGGAAAGAUUUUUUUUUCCCCCUCUUAACUACAAGAAGCCAGAGUUUUCUGUGCAAACGAAACAGGCGUUGCAAGAAUCAGAUUCACUUUGGACGACUCUUCACAUUCCAAGUCAUCAUUGCGUUAGGCAGCACAAUUCCAUCUCUGGUUGAUGGGCAGAAAAAGUGGGCAGCUUGCCAGGUAGACGUUUCCAUGACUCCCAGCCCCCAAAGGUGAUGCGUUUUUCAGCUAAUUCAAUGAAGAGUGGGCUGAACUUUGGGUCUAAACGAGACAAUAGCUGCCUUCGCAGUAUCAGCAGAAUGGUUGAUGGGAAUGCACUCUACAUUUGGCAGAGAAUCAUGUGACCUUACGACUGAGAUUUUGUGAUGGUGCCAACGGAGACUUGGAAAGCAGCAACCGUCCUGACUUUUUUCUUCUUUUCUAACAUGGCUCAGAAAAUGGUGGAUCUUAAUACUUGACUUUAGCCAGACUCAGCAAGCGACUGAGCUUUGAAGCACAACUUCGCCUUUAUUCUGGGUUUUUGGCAGGCCACCAGGAGGCUGUCCCUUUCACGCCUGAUAAAUUCUGCUGCUUAUCUCUAAAUAGAAAAAAAAGAAAAGAAAAUAAUAAUAGAAUAUUGAGGCAUAACAAGUGAAUUCCAAAAUUGUAUGUGCUUUUUUUUUUUGCCUUUUCUGACUGCUGAUUUUUAUUUUUUAUUUUUUAUUUAUUUAUUAUUUUUAUUAUUAUUAUUAUUAUUUUAGGUUACUACCGUUUCUGCUUGUAGAAGAAUACAAGUAGUUGGGUCUUUUUUGGUUUUUUUGUUUUUUUUUUUUGGUUUAAAAUGAACAGGCAUUUGAACUGGGCAAACAGGACGACAGCACCAGUGAGCAUGAGAUCAUUGCAUUGCAGCAGUGUAGCAAGCUGGCACCCUGCCUUUGCACCCCUUUGGUUCAGGAGACAAACGUGUGCAAUCCUCAUUUCUAAAGUCAGCACAGCCUGGAAGGAUUCCUGGUCUCUCCCACCUUCUACCAUUCUGCUGCCAGUGACGGCAAGGAUUGGUGUAGCUUCUGCGCAGUGCUUUGUGCCUGGAAUACCGAGAAGGAAGAAAAAGAAGACAAGCACCCUGGUCCUUUUCUAAGAAAUUACAGGCGCCCUUGAAGAAAAAAUCUGAGUGUGUCCUACUACAUGCAAGAGUGCUGAAAAAAAAAAAAAAAAAAAAGAGACGUUCCUGCUCAAAAACAAAAACAAAAGCAAACAAACAAAAAUCCAAACCAAAACAAACCAAAAAAAGGCAAACAUUGGCUGUAUAACUACAGAGACAUCGGGCUUUGUAAAGCAGCUUUUUAAGGCAACAUAGCCAAAUGAGCCUUCUUUAUUUUUAUUAUUUCAAACAAUAUGGCAUAAUUAGCAAUAUAUUGCACUUGGUGAAAUCGCACCUUUCAUAUCAGGGAAAAACUUAAAAUGGAUAUGAAAAGUGAAGAAAGUGAUCAUAGGAGAAAACCAUUUCAGAUAUCUGUGAAGAUCUCUCCAGAACUUCAUAUAUAUUUGGAUAAGAGAAAGGCUUCGGGCUUUGUAUUUCCUGAAAACCAAGAAAAAUCAACCACCUCAGAAGAGCCAGAUUCCACUUCUGUGGCCAGGACUUUUAUAUUAUGGCUGGUCCGAUUGUUUUACCCUGCGUUCUAUGCUACUAAACCUUGGAUCAUUCCUAAAGUACAAAUUCUGUUCUCGAACCACAAACAAGGCUAAAAGAUCGGAGGAAAUUCAGUGAAUAUACAGGAUUGGGGUUGUGUAUUUUUAAAAGUAUUGAGCUUUAUAAUGUAAUUAUUCAAGAAAUAGAAUCAUGGUUUUUUUUAUGAUGUUGCCAGCAUUUUAAAUUACAUGUUUAUCAAGUGGCAUUGCUCAAAUAACUACAGAGUAUGCGUGGAAAUAUUUGCUGUCUGAAUAGUUUGGAGAUUCAAAGAGAAAAAUCAAGCUUCAGAGGUGUCUGAUGAUUUGUGAGCCUCAAGUGACUACUCUGUGGAAUCAUCUGUCCUUGCCUUUGAAUUAGCUUUCCCUAGGCCUUGAGUCAACAUUGGUAGUUUAUACAUCCAAAUUGAUGACAAGAGCACCUCAAAGGCAGCAGCCUCUAGGAGCAGCCAUGGUUCCAGAGUUGUCCCACGGAUGCAGAAAAGUCUGCAAUGCAUCCCUAACAGAAUUCCAGAGAGCAUAUGAUGUGCCAGGCUCUGUGUAGGGGACAGGGACACAGUGGUGAACCAACACAAAGGUGGGUUUAUAGAAACACGAGUAAUAUGUUUAGAAUAAAUACAAAUGUGAAAAUCAUUGGCAAAAUAAAAGAUUUAAAUAUUUAAAAAAAGAUUUACAAGUCGACAAUAAUUUGAUGUUAAAACAUAGAUUAUAUUGGCAAAAAGUAGAAAGGGAAUGUGGAUGUGAAGAGAAGGAAUAAAAGGAGUACAGAAGGAAAGAUGUAUUAAUAUUUUUGUCCUCACUGGGCAGGGACAACUAUGUUGCUUCAUUCUUGGCUUUGAUACUAACACAGGUAUAAAGCAUAAGAAACAUAUGUAGACAUUUUAAGGAGACAUACAAAAUAAAUAUAAAAUAUAAACAUUGUGUAUCUUAUCAAAUCACUAGUCAAGAAUCAUAUAAUUUAAAUAACUAAAAUCAAGGCAAUAAAAGACAAAGUUAAUAACUGUUAUUUAAAAGGAUUCGUACCCUACAAACAGAACUACACAUUUUUCAGCCAUCUAUGAUUUAUUUACCAAAAUAGACUAGUAUUCGUUAAGAACAAGAUAAUAAUAAUAAAUAACAGAAAUUUCAGGAAUUACAUAAAGUCACAACUUAAUAAUACAAAAAAAAAGUUUUCAUAAAAACAUUCCCCCAAAAUAUUAAAAACAAACAACAAAUCAAUAAUAACAUUAAAAUAAGCAAGCUAUUUGCCUAAAUAACUGUUGGGACAGAAAGGAAACUAAACCAUAAUUGUAGGCCAUUUAGGAACCUACUAAAUUACAGCACCACAUUUUAACACUGAUGUAUCACCAAACCUGUUCUUAGAGACAAAUUCAUAGGCUUUAACAGUCUAUUAAAAAGAAAUGUAAAAGAAUCAUGUCUUUAUCACAGGGACUUAACUGGACUACAAUAAAGCAAAGAUGAAACUUAGAAGGAACACAAAUAUAAUUGAAUUCAAGAAAUUGGAAAAUCAACAAGUAAAUCACAGAACUAAUAUUUUUAAAGAAAAAAUUCUUUAAUAUUUUGCAAGGAGUAAGAAGCAAGAAAAAAAUGAGAAAGAAUAUAACAUGCAGAAAAUUUUUUAAAAAUACUGAGGGUAAUGCUUAAGAAGGUAAUCGCAAAUUUCUAGAAGAAACGCUAGCAAAUAUAAUUUGUAUAGGAUGUUAAAACAAUACCUAAUAAUGCAUUACUACUUUAUCUUAGUAAUGUAUAGAUGAUUUCAAUAAUCAAUUUAUAAUAUUUGACCUUAUGUAAUGGCAUUCUCUCUCCGUGUGUUCAAAUUUUCUUAUAGGACUAAUGCAUAUGUUUUAAUAUACUUCUGACAAGUUUAUGCUUUUUGUGAAAAUUAGAAAGAUUUUUUCCAUUACAUUUUUUACCUGGUUAUUGCUGGAUUAGAAGAGUCACAAAAUUCCACACACACAACUUGGAUGUAAACAAAAAAAUAUAUCACACAUAAUCUGGUCUUUUUCUGAAUUCCACUUCCAAAACUUGGCAGAAAAUCAAAGUGUUCAAUCUCCUGUGAAUCUACUCUGAUCUACUAUACUAAAACACACCUAGUCUUUUUGUCUUGCAUUUUUUCCCCUUCCUCAUUAUCUCUUCCUAAAUCUUGCCUGGGAAUUGAAAGCCCAGUAGAGAUCUUAUUCUGUCACUAAGCAAAAUCUGAUUUACAAUUUUGGUUAAGGAGAGGGAACAUAUUAAAACAUAUCAACAAUUUUAAAAUCAAUAUUAAUUAAAUUUCAUGUAGGUUUUAGAAAUUUUUUACUUGUAUACUUUUGACUUUAUUUUAUAAAAUUACAUUUUGAAAACUUCUACAUUUUUAGGAAAUACAUGGUAGCUAAAAAGCUGUGUUUGCUCUCGCUACAUUUGCUUUUCCUAUCCUUCAUUGCUCCUUGGAUUUUAGUCUGAUUGGUCUUGGGACAUGCCUGUUCCCCACAAACACCCCCACCACCAUACCCCAUUGUUGUGACACAUCUUGCUUAUUAAUGUGGUGGGAGUGGAGCUCACUUACAGAAUGUUUGCAGACUAGACAUUAGGCUACAGGCCUUUACCAUGGAGCAGCAAAGUGGUAUCUCACACCUCAUCCACAAAGGUUGGUCUAGUCCAAGCCCCUCUCCAGGUUCAUGUUCAUGUACAGCUCUUUGUUCUUACUGUAACAACCUACAUUUUAGAAUAGGCAGUGAGGACCAUUACCAAGAGAAGUAGGAGGGGCAACCUUCGGCUGUUUGUUUUACAGGAUCUCAACUUGUGAAUUUACUCUUCUCUUCACAGAAUGGGAUACCUGCCUGGCACUUACCAAGCUACACUUGAAGAGGAUCAGUCCAUAUCAUCAUGUCCCCAAUUUCACAGCACCAAGUAUUUUCUUUGUUCAUAAAUGCCCUAUUGUGGACAUCUAGCAAAAAACGAUAAAUCAAAAAUUAGAUAUGCAUAAAUUUUCAUGGAAUAAGGUAUAAAGCCCAACUCUCAAUACAUACUGAACAUAACAGGAGUCUAGGAAAUAUUCUAAAACAAAUGGGAAUGCAGAAUGUGCCACAGAAAAUAAGACACAUCAAUGAGGGUAGGUUUGAAAUACCAAUUUAAGGCAGACUUUCACCCUUUGGCCAGGCUGUAACAUUAAAAUUCCAUAGUUAAGAACUUACUAUAUAUUCAGGCAUUUAAAAAACUUUGCAUAUAUAAUUACAUUUGACCCUUCUAAUGCCUUUAUCAGAUAGGUUCUAUUAUUGCUCUUUUUUAAAUAAAGAAGAUAAACUUUGAAGAGAUUAAUAAAUUAAUAAAUUGGUCCUCCGUGGCACAGAUUAAUAAAUAGCAGAACCUUGAUUCAAAUUCUAAUUUUGUCCUCGAUUUUAACUUCCUAAUCCUAACGUUAUAAUGUUGUUUCAUGUUGUUAUAUGUUACUUUUAUGGAUUACAAAAGGUUAAAAACCAAUUUAUAUCCGUUUAAGAAAAAGCAGAAAUCAUAGGAAAUACCCUGAAGGUACUUCCCCCUUUCUCUGAGGGGUUUCAUAGAAACCAAGCACAGGAAUGCAGCUGGGCCUCAGGAAUAGCAGAAACCAGGGAAUAAAGACUGACCAAACUUUGUUUCCACCUCUGCCCCAGCCACCUCACCACCUUCCACCACACUCCACCAAUUCCCUCCACCCCCGCUCUACCCCC